rnacentral:rRNA from 1 species
AGAGUUUGAUCCUGGCUCAGAACGAACGCUGGCGGCGUGCCUAACACAUGCAAGUCGUACGAGAAAAUCCGCUUCGGCGGGUGAGUAGAGUGGCGCACGGGUGAGUAACGCGUGGAUAAUCUGCCUUUAAGCUGGGAAUAACUCACCGAAAGGUGGGCUAAUACCCGAUAAUGCUAUGGGACUUCGGUUUUAUAGCCAAAGAGAGCCUCUACAUGUAAGCCUUCACUUAAAGAUGAGUCCGCGGCCUAUCAGCUAGUUGGCGGGGUAACGGCCCACCAAGGCGACGACGGGUAGCCGGCCUGAGAGGGCGAUCGGCCACAAGGGGACUGAGACACGGCCCCUACUCCUACGGGAGGCAGCAGUAGGGAAUUUUGCUCAAUGGGGGAAACCCUGAAGCAGCGACGCCGCGUGGGCGACGAAAUCCUUCGGGAUGUAAAGCCCUUUUAACCGGGACGAAAUACAUGACGGUACCGGUGGAAUAAGCCUCGGCUAACUCCGUGCCAGCAGCCGCGGUAAGACGGGGGAGGCAAGCGUUGUCCGGAAUCACUGGGUGUAAAGGGCGUGUAGGCGGGCCGGCUAGUCGGUUGUUAAAUCUCUCCGCUCAACGGAGAAGCUGCGGCCGAUACUUCCGGUCUUGAGUGCGGCAGGGGAGGAUGGAAUUCCUGGUGUAGCGGUGAAAUGCGUAGAUAUCCGGAGGAACACCAGUGGCGAAGGCGACACCCUGGACUGUACCUGACGCUCAGACGCGAAAGCAUGGGGAGCGAACGGGAUUAGAAACCCCGGUAGUCCAUGCCGUAAACGAUGUGC